AUUGAACGCUUGCGGCAGGCCUAACACAUGCAAGUCGAGCGAGCGGCGGACGGGUGAGUAAUGUAUGGGGACUGCCCGAUAGAGGGGGAUAACUACUGGAAACGGUGGCUAAUACCGCAUACUAUCGGAUAACCCAUAUGGGAUUAGCUAGUAGGGGGGGUAAAGGCUCACCUAGGCGACGAUCUCUAGCUGGUCUGAGAGGAUGAUCAGCCACACUGGGACUGAGACACGGCCCAUACUCCUACGGAGGCAGCAGUUGGUAAUAUGGGACAAUGGACGCAAGCAUGAAGGAGCCAUGCCGCGUGGAUGAAGAAGGCCUUAGGGUUGUAAAGUACUUUCAGCGGGGAGGCGGUACCUGCAGAAGAAGCACCGGCUAACUCCGUGCCAGCAGCCGCGGUAAUUC
rnacentral:rRNA from 1 species